GUUGAGAGGAAUGGCGGCUGGUUCAAAGCUUCAAAAGAAAGUUUCUUAAGAAAUAAGAAACAAGUAUGAAUCUUUCUCUCUAAAGAUAGCUUUGGACCAGGCUUCAUUCCUCUCAAA
rfam:Citrus sinensis cultivar Ridge Pineapple sweet orange scaffold00346_contig_20, whole genome shotgun sequence.